UACGUAGGGGGCAAGCGUUGUCCGGAAUCAUUGGGCGUAAAGCGCGUGUAGGCGGUUCGGUAAGUCGGCUGUGAAAGUCCAGGGCUCAACCCUGGGAUGCCGGUCGAUACUGCCGGACUAGAGUUCGGAAGAGGCGACUGGAAUUCCUGGUGUAGCGGUGAAAUGCGUAGAUAUUGGGAGGAACACCAGUGGCGAAGGCGGCUCGCUGGACCGGUUCUGACGCUGAGGCACGAAAGCGUGGGGAGCAAACAGG
rnacentral:rRNA from 1 species